CCUACGGGAGGCAGCAGUGGGGAAUAUUGCACAAUGGGCGCAAGCCUGAUGCAGCGACGCCGCGUGCGGGAUGACGGCCUUCGGGUUGUAAACCGCUUUUGAUCGGGAGCAAGCCUUCGGGUGAGUGUACCUUUCGAAUAAGCACCGGCUAACUACGUGCCAGCAGCCGCGGUAAUACGUAGGGUGCAAGCGUUAUCCGGAAUUAUUGGGCGUAAAGGGCUCGUAGGCGGUUCGUCGCGUCCGGUGUGAAAGUCCAUCGCUUAACGGUGGAUCUGCGCCGGGUACGGGCGGGCUGGAGUGCGGUAGGGGAGACUGGAAUUCCCGGUGUAACGGUGGAAUGUGUAGAUAUCGGGAAGAACACCAAUGGCGAAGGCAGGUCUCUGGGCCGUUACUGACGCUGAGGAGCGAAAGCGUGGGGAGCGAACAGGAUUAGAUACCCUGGUAGUCCACGCCGUAAACGGUGGAUGCUGGAUGUGGGGCCCGUUCCACGGGUUCCGUGUCGGAGCUAACGCGUUAAGCAUCCCGCCUGGGGAGUACGGCCGCAAGGCUAAAACUCAAAGAAAUUGACGGGGGCCCGCACAAGCGGCGGAGCAUGCGGAUUAAUUCGAUGCAACGCGAAGAACCUUACCUGGGCUUGACAUGUUCCCGACAGCCGUAGAGAUAUGGCCUCCCUUCGGGGCGGGUUCACAGGUGGUGCAUGGUCGUCGUCAGCUCGUGUCGUGAGAUGUUGGGUUAAGUCCCGCAACGAGCGCAACCCUCGCCCUGUGUUGCCAGCACGUCAUGGUGGGAACUCACGGGGGACCGCCGGGGUCAACUCGGAGGAAGGUGGGGAUGACGUCAGAUCAUCAUGCCCCUUACGUCCAGGGCUUCACGCAUGCUACAAUGGCCGGUACAACGGGAUGCGACACGGCGACGUGGAGCGGAUCCCUGAAAACCGGUCUCAGUUCGGAUUGGAGUCUGCAACCCGACUCCAUGAAGGCGGAGUCGCUAGUAAUCGCGGAUCAGCAACGCCGCGGUGAAUGCGUUCCCGGGCCUUGUACACACCGCCCGUCAAGUCAUGAAAGUGGGUAGCACCCGAAGCCGGUGGCCUAACCUUUUUGGAUGGAGCCGUCUAAGGUGAGACUCGUGAUUGGGACUAAGUCGUAACAAGGUAGCCGUACCGGAAGGUGCGGCUG
rnacentral:rRNA from 1 species